rnacentral:lncRNA from 1 species
UUUGAAAUAGCCCUGAUAUUUCCUCAAGAAUUACCAUGAUAUGCCACUGAUCAUUAAUGGCAUUUUAGUCAAUUACACAAUGGUAUAACCAAAUUUACGCUUAACCGUUAACACAUAAUGAUGAUAAAUCGGAUUUCAUGGCAUCUCUCCUCUCCUCGGUGAAAAGUUUGUUCUUUUUUUUGUUUCAUCAAUUAUCAUCGGAUUUCAUUUCCGAUUAAUGUUUUGUUCUUUUUUUUUUGUCUGGUUCCUUUUCUCAGAGUUUCUUUUGUUCUGUUUGAUUGUUCUUUUGUUCUGUUUGAUAAAAAAAAAAUCCGAUUUGAA